rnacentral:rRNA from 1 species
GAUGAACGCUGGCGGCGUGCCUAAUACAUGCAAGUCGAGCGAACAGACGAGGAGCUUGCUCCUCUGACGUUAGCGGCGGACGGGUGAGUAACACGUGGAUAACCUACCUAUAAGACUGGGAUAACUUCGGGAAACCGGAGCUAAUACCGGAUAAUAUAUUGAACCGCAUGGUUCAAUAGUGAAAGACGGUUUUGCUGUCACUUAUAGAUGGAUCCGCGCCGCAUUAGCUAGUUGGUAAGGUAACGGCUUACCAAGGCAACGAUGCGUAGCCGACCUGAGAGGGGGAUCGGCCACACUGGAACUGAGACACGGUCCAGACUCCUACGGGAGGCAGCAGGAGGGAAUCUUCCGAAAUGGGCGAAAGCUUGACGGAGCAACGCCGCGUGGGUGAAAAAGGUCUUCGGAUCGUAAAACCCUUUUAUUAGGGAAGAAAAAAUGUGUAAGUAACUAUGCACGUCUUGACGGUACCUAAUCAGAAAGCCACGGCUAACUACGU